CGGCGUAGGUGGUUUGGUCAGUCAGAUGUGAAAGCCCUGGGCUUAACCUGGGAAUUGCAUUUGAUACUGCCAGACUAGAGUAUGGUAGAGGGAAGUGGAAUUCCGGGUGUAGCGGUGAAAUGCGUAGAUAUCCGGAGGAACAUCAGUGGCGAAGGCGGCUUCCUGGACCAAUACUGACACUGAGGUGCGAAAGCGUGGGUAGCAAACA
rnacentral:rRNA from 1 species